rnacentral:lncRNA from 1 species
AUGCUGUCGCCAGGCUGCAGCCGCCUGACGGGACUCACCCAGGGCACGCCCUCUGAGCUCACACCCGCCGUGCGCUCAUGCCCCUGGGCCACCCCGCCUACCCUCCCGCGCGGCUCUGCGCGCACAGGCCUGACGCUCGGAGCCGGCGCCGGGCUAACCUGCUCGGCCUCCUGGGCGCAGCGGCGCCUCUGGACUUCAGCACGCGCACCAGCGGCCUCCUCGCAGGCUCCGUGCCCGCGCACGCGCCCUCGCGUCGUGCUCCUCGCGGAGAGACCUGCGCUCGGGGCCAGGCUCCGGGGGGUCUCUCGGCUGCAGUUCUACCGGGACUUCCGCGCUUCAGUGGCCUUUCUGAUGAGCCGCCGCGCCCAGAGAUGUUCAGGUUGGAGCGACACUUCCCAGAGUGAAGCGGUCACUCCAGAUCUUUGGCUUUCAUUCCGUUUUCGCAAGGUUCUCCCUCUUUGCAAGGUGAGCAGAUACCCUAAACCUCAGGUCUCUGGGGCCUCGGUGGAGGAAAACAAAGGAAGAAGAAGUGUGAAGCCAUUGUGGCCUUUUCAAUAGGUCUCAAACCUGCAUCUUAAGUGGAAGUUGGUGGCUUUUUAUCAGUGCUAUGGCAGCUCAACCUUUACUACUCAUCAUGGAAAAACCUGGAUGUUCCUUAGGCAGUUAUGUGUAGGAGGUGCCCGUGUCUGAGCAGCAGAGGGGGAGAACCAGAAUGGCUCCCCACAAG